CCUACGGGGGGCAGCAGUGAGGAAUAUUGGUCAAUGGACGCAAGUCUGAACCAGCCAAGCAGCGUGCAGGAUGACGGCCCUCCGGGUUGUAAACUGCUUUUAGUUGGGAAUAAAAGGGGGCUCGUGAGCCCCGUAUUGUAUGUACCAUCAGAAAAAGGACCGGCUAAUUCCGUGCCAGCAGCCGCGGUAAUACGGAAGGUCCGGGCGUUAUCCGGAUUUAUUGGGUUUAAAGGGUGCGUAGGCGGUCGGAUAAGUUAGAGGUGAAAUCCCGAGGCUCAACUUCGGAAUUGCCUCUGAUACUGUUC
rnacentral:rRNA from 1 species